rnacentral:siRNA from 1 species
UCCACUUUCUGCCUCCCCUCG